AACGAACGCUGGCGGCAGGCUUAACACAUGCAAGUCGAACGAAGUCUUCGGACUUAGUGGCGGACGGGUGGGUAACACGUGGGAACGUACCUUUUGGUUCGGAACAACUCAGGGAAACUUGAGCUAAUACCGGAUGAGCCCUUAGGGGGAAAGAUUUAUCGCCGAAAGAGCGGCCCGCGUUAGAUUAGCUAGUUGGUGAGGUAAAGGCUCACCAAGGCUACGAUCUAUAGCUGGUCUGAGAGGAUGAUCAGCCACACUGGGACUGAGACACGGCCCAGACUCCUACGGGAGGCAGCAGUGGGGAAUCUUGCGCAAUGGGCGAAAGCCUGACGCAGCCAUGCCGCGUGAAUGAUGAAGGUCUUAGGAUUGUAAAAUUUUUUUACCAGGGACGAUAAUGACGGUACCUGGAGAAAAAGCCCCGGCUAACUUCGUGCCAGCCGCCGCCGUAAGAC
rnacentral:rRNA from 1 species